AACAACAUAUUAUUAAGGAGCUCU
rnacentral:siRNA from 1 species